rnacentral:rRNA from 1 species
CGAGGAUUCUCCCAGUAACGGCGAGUGAACGGAGAAAAGCCCAGCGCUGAAUCAUUUGGUCACAGUGAUCAAAUUGAAAUGUAGCGUAUAGGUGUAACUAUCCCAUUGUUUUGUGCACUCAAAGUCCCCUUGAGCGGGGCCACAGUCCAUAGAAGGUGCUAGACCUGUACGGGUGACGAAACGAUGGGUCGGUUGCUCCUUGGAGUCGGGUUGCCUGAGAUCGCAGCUCAAAGUGGGUGGUAAACCUCAUCUAAGGCUAAAUAUGGCCACGAGACCGAUAGCAAACAAGUACCGUGAGGGAAAGUUGAAAAGAACUCUGAGAAGAGAGUUAAAGGAGGACGUGAAACCGCUGGGAUGGAAACGAAUAGAGUUGACGAAACCAACCGUCAUUCAACCGAUCAGCUUAGCGGUCAUCUAUUUAUUGUACCAUAAAAGCACACAGGUCUUUUACGAGGCAUGUUGUAUUGAUGGACAAUAAUAGAUUGGUGCUGUUGAGUAGUUUUGAAUGCCUGUGUGAUCGGUGCAUUUGAUGGUGGUACGCGCCGAGAGCCGCGUUAUUGUACGACAAAGCAGUAUUUUCUGGUAGUGGACCGGAUAAUUUUUAUCCGGAAACCUGCCACUGUGAAGGCGUAUCUUUGAUGCGGUUGCAAUUGCAACUCUCGCUGUACAAUGUGCGUUAUUGUAUUUGCUCAAUUUAUACUUGCAUAUAAUGAUCGCUUGCGUAUCGUUUAUGUUUAGGUGUUUAAAUUGAGUGAUAUAUAACGCGUUGGAGUUGUUUCUCGGUGUGAGCGUCGAUCACCUAUUCGACC